GAAGAAGAGGAAGAGGAAGAGGAGCGUUUCUUGACCGGUCCAGUCUGAGACCUGGUGGAUUGGCAAAUGGGGAAAAUUGGUAAGCUAGUGCUAGGGUUUGGGAUUGAGAUUGAAGUGGGAAAUAAACGAAACGGAUGUUUUUGAUGGUGAGAUUUGAAGGAGACUUUUUGGGGCUGAAAUGUGGAGAUGGAGAGAGCCAUUUUGGUUUUGAUAUUAUUUAUACUUCAGUUCACACACACCGCUUUCUGGAUGAUGUUUUCGUGCUCUCUUGCCCGCUUCUCUUUGAGGACGAAGAAAGACUGGAGAGUGAAAAGCUCUGCUGCUCGGCUGUUCCUGCUUCUAUAGCUCACCGUAACAAAAUUGGGAAAUUACAAAAAGGUACCGUGAAGUUCUACUCAUGAGGUUUGGCUCUUCGGCUUUGUGGUUC
rnacentral:misc_RNA from 1 species